UACGGAGGGGGCUAGCGUUGUUCGGAAUUACUGGGCGUAAAGCGCGCGUAGGCGGACCUGCAAGUCGGGGGUGAAAGCCCGAGGCUCAACCUCGGAACUGCCUUCGAUACUGCGGGUCUCGAGUCCGGGAGAGGUGAGUGGAAUUCCUAGUGUAGAGGUGAAAUUCGUAGAUAUUAGGAAGAACACCAGUGGCGAAGGCGGCUCACUGGCCCGGUACUGACGCUGAGGCGCGAAAGCGUGGGGAGCAAC
rnacentral:rRNA from 1 species